CCUAAUUUUAAGGGGAUGCUGGCAGAUUCCCUUAUUCUCUUUCAUUACAUAUAUCUUGCACACCAACACUCAUAUAAGGGAGCAUAUACUCCUCACACACAGAGGUGAUUUUCUGCAAUAUUCACACACAAAAAUCACACACAUUGAUUUUACACUGGGCAGAUUAGAUGUAGACUCUUGAUAUUCACUGGUUUUCUGGAGAUUAUCCUCAGUACUACUUCUGGCUUGCAUAAUGUAGACAUUACAUUUAACUAGGUGAAUCUGCCUUUGUUUUAAAUUUGCUUCAAGCCCUACAAAUUUGCUUGAACAUUGUAAUGUUUUCCUAGUGUGUUUUUGGAGUCAUCAAUCAGACAGGCUAUCUUUUGUUCCUGUCUAAAGUGUGAUUGAAUCGACACUCAUUUUAUUUUGUGGUAUGAGUUUGAAAGAUGGAAUUUAGUUGAGAAGCAUGUACGAGAAGUGGAGCUUCAGGGCUGAUCACAGGAUAUGGCUAAGCUGUUAUAUGCAGAUUUGGAAAUUUUAAGGAAAUUCGUUUAUUUAUAAGUAGAACUAAUGCCGUUAUCCUUUUCUGGGUUCAAGUUGUAUAGAUGAUAAAAAAUAGUUGUUGUUUAUGUGUUCAUAAGUGGAUGAUAUGACCUUGAAUUUGGAUAAAAUGAAUUCAUGCUUAGAUUUGGUUUAAUUA